rnacentral:rRNA from 1 species
UGCAGUCGAACGGUGACCUCGAGAGCUUGCUCUUGGGUGAUCAGUGGCGAACGGGUGAGUAACACGUGAGUAACCUGCCCCAGACUCUGGAAUAACCCCGGGAAACCGGAGCUAAUACCGGAUACGAGACGGAGCCGCAUGGCUACCGUUUGGAAAGUUUUUCGGUCUGGGAUGGACUCGCGGCCUAUCAGCUAGUUGGUGAGGUAACGGCUCACCAAGGCGACGACGGGUAGCCGGCCUGAGAGGGCGACCGGCCACACUGGGACUGAGACACGGCCCAGACUCCUACGGGAGGCAGCAGUGGGGAAUAUUGCACAAUGGGCGAAAGCCUGAUGCAGCGACGCCGCGUGAGGGAUGAAGGCCUUCGGGUUGUAAACCUCUUUCAGCAGGGAAGAAGCGAAAGUGACGGUACCUGCAGAAGAAGCACCGGCUAACUACGUGCCAGCAGCCGCGGUAAUACGUAGGGUGCGAGCGUUGUCCGGAAUUAUUGGGCGUAAAGAGCUUGUAGGCGGUUUGUCGCGUCUGCCGUGAAAAUCCGGGGCUCAACCCCGGACUUGCGGUGGGUACGGGCAGACUAGAGUGUGGUAGGGGAGACUGGAAUUCCUGGUGUAGCGGUGAAAUGCGCAGAUAUCAGGAGGAACACCGAUGGCGAANGCAGGUCUCUGGGCCACUACUGACGCUGAGAAGCGAAAGCGUGGGGAGCGAACAGGAUUAGAUACCCUGGUAGUCCACGCCGUAAACGUUGGGAACUANGUGUGGGCCUCAUUCCACGANGUCUGUGCCGCANCUAACGCAUUAANUUNCCCGCCUGGGGAGUACGG